rnacentral:rRNA from 1 species
UGCUUGCAAACUGGAGAUGGCGACCGGCGCACGGGUGAGUAACACGUAUCCNACCUGCCGAUAACUCGGGGAUAGCCUUUCGAAAGAAAGAUUAAUACCCGAUGGUAUAAUCANACCGCAUGGUCUUGUUAUUAAAGAAUUUCGGUUAUCGAUGGGGAUGCGUUCCAUUAGGCAGUUGGUGAGGUAACGGCUCACCAAACCUUCGAUGGAUAGGGGUUCUGAGAGGAAGGUCCCCCACAUUGGAACUGAGACACGGUCCAAACUCCUACGGGAGGCAGCAGUGAGGAAUAUUGGUCAAUGGGCGCAGGCCUGAACCAGCCAAGUAGCGUGAAGGAUGACUGCCCUAUGGGUUGUAAACUUCUUUUAUAUGGGAAUAAAGUUUUCCACGUGUGGAAUUUUGUAUGUACCAUAUGAAUAAGGAUCGGCUAACUCCGUGCCAGCAGCCGCGGUAAUACGGAGGAUCCGAGCGUUAUCCGGAUUUAUUGGGUUUAAAGGGAGCGUAGGUGGACAGUUAAGUCAGUUGUGAAAGUUUGCGGCUCAACCGUAAAAUUGCAGUUGAUACUGGCUGUCUUGAGUACAGUAGAGGUGGGCGGAAUUCGUGGUGUAGCGGUGAAAUGCUUAGAUAUCACGAAGAACUCCGAUUGCGAAGGCAGCUCACUGGACUGCAACUGACACUGAUGCUCGAAAGUGUGGGUAUCAAACAGGAUUAGAUACCCUGGUAGUCCACACAGUAAACGAUGAAUACUCGCUGUUUGCGAUAUACAGUAAGCGGCCAAGCGAAAGCAUUAAGUAUUCCACCUGGGGAGUACGCCGGCAACGGUGAAACUCAAAGGAAUUGACGGGGGCCCGCACAAGCGGAGGAACAUGUGGUUUAAUUCGAUGAUACGCGAGGAACCUUACCCGGGCUUAAAUUGCAUUUGAAUAUAUUGGAAACAGUAUAGCCGUAAGGCAAAUGUGAAGGUGCUGCAUGGUUGUCGUCAGCUCGUGCCGUGAGGUGUCGGCUUAAGUGCCAUAACGAGCGCAACCCUUAUCUUUAGUUACUAACAGGUCAUGCUGAGGACUCUAGAGAGACUGCCGUCGUAAGAUGUGAGGAAGGUGGGGAUGACGUCAAAUCAGCACGGCCCUUACGUCCGGGGCUACACACGUGUUACAAUGGGGGGUACAGAAGGCAGCUACCUGGUGACAGGAUGCUAAUCCCAAAAGCCUCUCUCAGUUCGGAUCGAAGUCUGCAACCCGACUUCGUGAAGCUGGAUUCGCUAGUAAUCGCGCAUCAGCCAUGGCGCGGUGAAUACGUUCCCGGGCCUUGUACACACCGCCCGUCAAGCCAUGAAAGCCGGGGGUACCUGAAGUACGUAACCGCAAGGAG